CCCUUAGAUGUUCUGGGCAGCACGCGCGCUACAAUGGUCUUCGCAAACGGAUGCAUUCUCGAAGGAGAAUGCCAAUCUUGGAAUCUAUGCCUUGGUCGGGACAGUUGCUUGCAAUUUUUCGACUCGAACCAGGAAUUCCUUGUAAUCGUGAUUCAUCACAUCACGAUGAUUACGUCCCUGCCCUUUGUACACACCGCCCGUCGCACCUACCGAUUGAAUGGUCCGGUGAAGCCUCCGGAUUGGCGCGCACCUCGGUGCCGCCGAGAAGUUGGCUAAACCUUACCAUUUAGAGGAAGGUGAAGUCGUAACA
rnacentral:rRNA from 1 species